GAAAUUAGCAAUAAAGUCAGUGAAAAACUGGAGCCUAUGCUAGACCUCGAUUCAAGAUGUAUGGCAGCUUCCCUGCAUUUAAAGGACUUUAGUUCUGGUCUGUACUUGCAGAGCGGCCAAGGUCUGUUUCCUUUUAAAUGCAUUUUGAAGCAGAUACAGCAAACAAUAGUGCGUCACCUCCAUGUGAGAUGCCUUUGUGAUAUUCACAGGAAGUCCCAGUCACAAAUAAAAAGGCUGUUCUUCACUAGGAUCAAAUUGGAAUUAUUUGACAUCAGCUGGGUUAGGAUGGGGAGCUUUAAUCGGAGGAGAUGAAAGACGGGUGAAAACUCUGCUGGGCCACAGAGUCCCCUGCUGAAACUGAAACUUCAUGCUACAACUGGGCCUCAUCUGACUUUAAUUAAAUAAGGGAAGAUCAAAGCCUACAAAUCUCCCUGAUCUAUAUCAGCGCAACAAAUUAAAGGGUGGUUAAUUUUUGCCUUUUUAAGGAAUUUCUUUUGGAUGUGACUUGUUCUUACUCUGGUUUAAUCAUACGAGUACUCUGUAGGAAGUAGGAAAAAGAAAGAGCAGUGUGAGAGCAGAGCACCAACAUCGAGAUGGGGACAGACAGAGGUUGUCGUACCCAGUUCAGUCAUUCCUGAGCCUCACUGCCAAUGUGGAGGGGAUUCACAGUACACAAGGACUGGGACAGCUCUGGGCAUACCUUCAAGGACAAUUCUGGAGUUACCGUCAUAUUCAGGAACUGAGUGAUGCAGCCUGAGAAAUAAUCCUAAGAGGUUUUGAGGGGGAGAAAAAGUAACACGCAAGGAGCCGGCAGUGAGAGUCAGUGGCCACCUAAGAGCCUGCAGUAUAAUGAGACAGACCACAUUUGCAGAGAGUUUACGCUGAAGAAACGUGCUCUCACCACAGUCAGUAUUGCAGUAAUGGUCACACUUGCUUCUCAGAAGUAUUUUGUUUUCAUAUGGUGUUUAUAACCAGAGCCAUAAAUCUGGGAGACACUUUACAUGCUUCAUUACUUGACUGAAAUUCCAUUUAACUCAUUGAAAGCUUUCCUAUUGACCUCAGUGGGAUGGGUGAUUGUGAAAUAAGGAAAUGCCAGUCUAUUUUAAAAUGAGACUUGUAUCUAUGUCACCAUGGUUAGCAGGAAAUAAAACAACCUGCGUAUUGUUCACCAACAAGUUUCACAUACAGCUGACCUGCUGCCUCCAUGCACCCAGCUCUCACAUGGAGUGCAGCAAUAGCUGCUCAGGGAUACCUACUCAUCCCAGUGGUGUUUAGAAACACAUGUAUAAGAGGAAGAAGAAAAUAUCCAAGCCUAAGUGAUGUGGCUAUUCAUAUAAAAUAGAAAUUGCACAAAAGUUAAACAACCAACAGGAGGAAGCAUCACAGCCUGCUUCUGACAGCCUCGAUGGAGAAGCUCCCUUGUAGCCUUAAUUCCACACAUUUCUGUGUAGAAAAUACUAAUCUUUUAAUGAAUCACACUUUCUAUGGAUAAUGUUAGGAAACCUUGAUCUUCCUUUUUGAAUUGUAAUACAGCCUGAGGUUCUGACCUGAUUGUCAAGAGCACUCGGUCAAAAAAAAAACCAAAAAAAACAACAAACCCAAAACAAAACAAAACAAACAAACAAAAAAACCAAAAAACCCCCAAAGG